UAUUCUCAGACAGUUUUCUUCUUCUUUUUUACUUAUUUCAGUCACAGACGAGUACAGUGCAAAAAGGGAUCUCAUGUUUGAAAGGGUUUCAAAGUAUAUUGUGAGAUCAGUAUUACAAAAGAGGGAGAUCAGGAGGAGUAUGAUGAUGUGAAGAACAGCGAUGAAGAUGAGAGAAACCUGUUGGACUAUGAUGAUGUGGGGGAGGAGUCAAAUAAAGAGGGAGGAGCCAUAUGACUCGCUGACCACACCCA